rnacentral:rRNA from 1 species
GGUUAAGCGACUAAGCGUACACGGUGGAUGCCUUGGCAGUCAGAGGCGAUGAAGGACGUGCUAAUCUGCGAUAAGCGUCGGUAAGGUGAUAUGAACCGUUA